CUACGGAGGGAGCAAGCGUUAUUCGGAAUCACUGGGCGUAAAGGACGCGUAGGCGGGUUUGUAAGUCAGGUGUGAAAUCCUACAGCUCAACUGUAGAACUGCACUUGAAACUACAGACCUAGAGUAUGGAAGGGGCAGAUGGAAUUAGUGGUGUAGGGGUAAAAUCCGUAGAUAUCACUAGGAAUACCGAAAGCGAAGGCGAUCUGCUGGGACAUUACUGACGCUGAGGCGUGAAAGCGUGGGGAGCAAACAGGAUUAGAUACCCUUGUAGUCC
rnacentral:rRNA from 1 species